CUAGGUUACGGUGAUAUGGUACCAGCAACAAUUAUGGGUAAAAUUGUAGGGGGAGUUUGUUCGCUUAGUGGUGUACUCGUUAUUGCACUUCCAGUGCCUGUAUGUUUAUUUUGU
rfam:Dracunculus medinensis genome assembly, scaffold: DME_scaffold0000092